GACUUGUCCCAACUACAUGGAUAACUGUAGUAACCUAGAGCUAAUACAUGCAAAUCAACCUAACUAGUAUUCGGAAAGGUUGGCACUUAUUAGAUAACAAACCAAUACCUUCGGGUUUUAAAUGGUGAAUCAUAAUAACUGAACAGAUCGCAUGGCCUUUGUGCCGGCGACGUUUCAUUCAAAUUUCUGCCCUAUCAACUAGAUGUUAGUAUAUAGGACUAACAUGGUUUUAACGGGUGACGGGGAAUUGGGGUUCGAUUCCGGAGAAGGAGCAUGAGAAACGGCUACUACUUCUAAGGAAAGCAGCAGGCGCGCAAAUUAUUCAAUGGAAACAAAUUUCCGAAAUAGUGACAAAAAAUAACAAUGUAUUGCACAACGUGUGAUACAAUUGGAAUGAGUACAAUUUAAAACCCUUAACGAGUAACAAUUAGAGGGCAAGUCUGGUGCCAGCAGCCGCGGUAAUUCCAGCUCUAAUAGCGUAUAUUAAUAUUGUUGCAGUUAAAAAGCUCGUAGUUGAAACUUGAGUAUUUCUAUCAAGUUUGGUCUACCUUUUAAGGUUUUGACUACUUGAUGAUACUCUUCCUACUAGUAACUCGAUUAUGUUCUUAAUUGAAUGUAAUAGCUAUCUUUCGGGGUAGUCAAUCUAUGGGAAUAGCUCCACCAUACCAAUGGAUGUGUGUAAAAGCACUGAAAGAGGAUGAGUGGAUCAAGUUAAUCUUGUAGAUUGGAGUUCUAGUUCGUUUACUUUGAGAAAAUUAGAGUGUUUAAAGCAGCCUCUUGGGGCUCUGAAUACAUUAGCAUGGGAUAAUAGAAUAGGAUUUAAGUCACUAUAUUUGUUGGUUUGAAUGAACUUAAAUAAUGAUUAAUAGGGACAGUUGGGGGUAUUUAUAUUGGAUGGUUAGCGGUGAAAUGCAUGGAUCCAUUCAAGAUAAACUAAAGCGAAAGCAUUUACCAAGGAUGUUUUCAUUAAUCAAGAACGAAAGUUAAGGGAUCGAAGACGAUCAGAUACCGUCGUAGUCUUAACUAUAAACUAUGCCGACCAGGGAUAUGAGUUGUUAUGAAUAAUCUUACGGUUAUUCAAUUUCCUCUUGUGGACCUUGUGAGAAAUCAUAAGUUUUUGGGUUCUGGGGGGAGUAUGGUCGCAAGGCUGAAACUUAAAGGAAUUGACGGAGGGGCACCACCAGGAGUGGAGCGUGCGGCUUAAUUUGACUCAACACGGGAAAACUUACCAGGUCCAGACAUUAGAAGGAUUGACAGAUUGAUAGCUCUUUCAUGAUUUAAUGGGUGGUGGUGCAUGGCCGUUCUUAGUUGGUGGAGUGAUUUGUCUGG
rnacentral:rRNA from 1 species